GACGAACGCUGGCGGCGUGCUUAACACGUGCAAGUCGAACGGGCCCGCUCUCUUUUUUGGGGGUGGGUUGAGUGGCGAACGGGUGAGUAUCACGUGAGUAACCUGCCCCCUGCUCCUGGAUAACUGCUUGAAAGGGCGGCUAAUACGGGGUGUGCCGGCUGGUCCGCAUGGGCCUGGUCGGGAUAGUUUCAUCUUCGGGUGUUUCGGUGGGGGAUGGGCUCGCGGCCUAUCAGCUUGUUGGUGGGGUGAUGGCCCACCAAGGCGGUGACGGGUAGCCGGCCUGAGAGGGUGGGCGGCCACACUGGGACUGAGACACGGCCCAGACUCCUGCGGGAGGCAGCAGUGGGGGGUAUUGCACAAUGGGCGGAAGCCUGAUGCAGCGACGUCGCGUGAGGGAUGGAGGCCUUCGGGUUGUGAACCUCUUUCUCCGGUGGUGAAGGCCCUGUCCGUUGCGGCGGGGUUGACGGUAGCCGGGGAUGAAGCGCCGGCUAACUACGUG
rnacentral:rRNA from 1 species